rnacentral:rRNA from 1 species
UACGUAGGGUGCAAGCGUUGUCCGGAAUUAUUGGGCGUAAAGAGCUUGUAGGCGGUUUGUCGCGUCAUGCGUGUGAAACUUUCGGGGCUCAACCCCGAACUUGCAGUGGGUACGGGCAGACUAGAGUGUGGUAGGGGAGACUGGAAUUCCUGGUGUAGCGGUGAAAUGCGCAGAUAUCAGGAGGAACACCGAGUGGCGAAGGCAGGUCUCUGGGCCGACUAACUGACGCUGAGGAGCGAAAGCGUGGGGAGCGAACAGG